AUAAGAGGUCCCGCCUGCCCUGUGACUAUAGUUUAACGGCCGCGGUAUUUUAACCGUGCGAAGGUAGCGUAAUCACUUGUCUUUUAAAUGAAGACCUGUAUGAAUGGCAUCACGAGGGCUUAGCUGUCUCCCAUCUCCAGUCAAUGAAAUUGACCUCCCCGUGCAGAGGCGGGGAUAAUUACAUAAGACGAGAAGACCCUAUGGAGCUUUAGACCUAAGGUAAGUCACGUUUAACAUGCUGUGAUAACAGAAAAAACUUAGUGAUAUUUACUGAAGUGUCUUUGGUUGGGGCGACCGCGGGGUAAAACACAACCCCCAUGUGGACCGGGGAUAUAAUCCCUAAUACUCAGAGCCUCUACUCCAAGUAACAGAAAUUCUGACUUUUCUGAUCCGGUAUAACCGAUCAACGAACCGAGUUACCCUAGGGAUAACAGCGCAAUCCCCUCUCAGAGCCCAUAUCGACGAGGGGGUUUACGACCUCGAUGUUGGAUCAGGACAUCCUAAUGGUGCAGCCGCUAUUAAGGGUUCGUUUGUUCAACGAUUAAAGUCC
rnacentral:rRNA from 1 species